GAUGAACGCUAGCGGCAGGCUUAACACAUGCAAGUCGAGGGGUAUAGUUCUUCGGAGCUAGAGACCGGCGCACGGGUGCGUAACGCGUAUGCAAUCUACCUUUUACAGAGGGAUAGCCCAGAGAAAUUUGGAUUAAUACCUCAUAGUAUGUGAGAAUCGCAUGGUUUUCACAUUAAAGUUCCAACGGUAAAGAUGAGCAUGCGUCCCAUUAGCUAGAUGGUAAGGUAACGGCUUACCAUGGCUACGAUGGGUAGGGGUCCUGAGAGGGAGAUCCCCCACACUGGUACUGAGACACGGACCAGACUCCUACGGGAGGCAGCAGUGAGGAAUAUUGGACAAUGGGCGCAAGCCUGAUCCAGCCAUGCCGCGUGCAGGAUGACGGUCCUAUGGAUUGUAAACUGCUUUUGUACAGGAAGAAACCCUUUCACGUGUGGAAGAUUGACGGUACUGUAAGAAUAAGGAUCGGCUAACUCCGUGCCAGCAGCCG
rnacentral:rRNA from 1 species